AGCGAACGCUGGCGGCAGGCCUAACACAUGCAAGUCGAACGGAUCCUUCGGGAUUAGUGGCGGACGGGUGAGUAACACGUGGGAACGUGCCCUUUGGUUCGGAACAACUCAGGGAAACUUGAGCUAAUACCGGAUGUGCCCUUCGGGGGAAAGAUUUAUCGCCAUUGGAGCGGCCCGCGUCUGAUUAGCUAGUUGGUGAGGUAACGGCCCACCAAGGCGACGAUCAGUAGCUGGUCUGAGAGGAUGAUCAGCCACACUGGGACUGAGACACGGCCCAGACUGCUACGGGAGGCAGCAGUGGGGAAUCUUGCGCAAUGGGCGAAAGCCUGACGCAGCCAUGCCGCGUGAAUGAUGAAGGUCUUAGGAUUGUAAAAUUCUUUCAGCGGGGACGAUAAUGACGGUACCCGCAGAAGAAGCACCGGCUAACUUCGUG
rnacentral:rRNA from 1 species